GUUUUAAUAGUUUAAAUAAAACAUUGGUCUUGUAAAUCAAAAAUAAGUUUCACUUUUAAAACU
rnacentral:tRNA from 2 species